rnacentral:pre_miRNA from 9 species
ACACACACACACAGAUGCAUCUGUGUGUGUGUGUGUGCACACAGAUGCAUCUGUGUGUGUGUGUG